UCGUGUAUGGUGUAACGGCUAACAUUACCGCCUUUCAUGUCUUUCGAGAGUGAUCGCGGUAGCUCGGGGUUCGAUUCCCCGUACGCGAA